rfam:Caenorhabditis brenneri strain PB2801 C_brenneri-6.0.1_Cont174.32, whole genome shotgun sequence.
CUUGGUUACGGAGACAUGGUACCGUCAACAAUAAUGGGUAAAAUAGUUGGAGGAAUCUGUUCACUGUCCGGAGUGUUGGUCAUUGCCCUUCCAGUUCCAGUCAUUGUCAGCAAC